rnacentral:rRNA from 1 species
AGAACGAACGCUGGCGGCAUGCCUAAUACAUGCAAGUCGAACGAACUCUUCGGAGUUAGUGGCGCACGGGUGCGUAACGCGUGGGAAUCUGCCCCUUGGUUCGGAAUAACAGUUGGAAACGACUGCUAAUACCGGAUGAUGACGAAAGUCCAAAGAUUUAUCGCCAAGGGAUGAGCCCGCGUAGGAUUAGCUAGUUGGUGAGGUAAAGGCUCACCAAGGCAACGAUCCUUAGCUGGUCUGAGAGGAUGAUCAGCCACACUGGGACUGAGACACGGCCCAGACUCCUACGGGAGGCAGCAGUAGGGAAUAUUGGACAAUGGGCGAAAGCCUGAUCCAGCAAUGCCGCGUGAGUGAUGAAGGCCUUAGGUUGUAAAGCUCUUUUACCCGAGAUGAUAAUGACAGUAUCGGAGAAUAAGCCCCGGCUAACUCCGCGCCAGCAGCCGC